rnacentral:pre_miRNA from 1 species
GCGGGAGAGGGGGGGUCCCUCAGCCUGGAUUGCAAGAGGGUGCAGGCCAGACCGAGGGGCCCCACCAGUGCACA